rnacentral:misc_RNA from 1 species
CCAAACUUGGUCAUUUAGAGGAAGUAAAAGUCGUAACAAGGUUUCCGUAGGUGAACCUGCGGAAGGAUCAUUAUCGAGUUUUGAAACGGGUUGUAGCUGGCUUCAAACGAAGCAUGUGCACGCCUGGCUCAUUCCACUCUUCAACCUCUGUGCACCUAUUGUAGAUCGGUGUAAAGGUUAGUUUGUAACAGAACUAGCUGUAAAGCCUUUCUACGUUUUACUAUAAACGCUUCAGUUAUAGAAUGUAUCAUCGCGUAUAACGCAUCUUUAUACAACUUUCAGCAACGGAUCUCUUGGCUCUCGCAUCGAUGAAGAACGCAGC